rnacentral:rRNA from 1 species
UACGGAGGGUGCAAGCGUUGCUCGGAAUCACUGGGCGGAAAGCGACCGCAGGCGGCCUGACAAGUCGGAUGUGAAAGCCCUGGGCUCAACUCAGGAAUUGCAUUCGAAACUGCAGGGCUAGAGUCCUGGAGAGGAAGGUGGAAUGCUUGGUGUAGAGGUGAAAUUCGUAGAUAUCAAGCGGAACACCGGUGGCGAAGGCGGCCUUCUGGACAGUGACUGACGCUGAGACGCGAAAGCGUGGGGAGCAAACAGG